rnacentral:tRNA from 1 species
GGCCCCAUCGUCUAACGGCUAGGACGCCAGGUUUUCAUCCUGGUAAUAGGGGUUCGAUUCCCCUUGGGGUCACCA